rnacentral:rRNA from 1 species
GGUGACGAUGACGGUGAGGUUCCACCUGUUCCCAUUCCGAACACAGAAGUUAAGCUCACUCGUGCCCAAGAUAGUUGCUGGAAACGGCGCGUGAAAAUAGGUAGUCGCCG